rnacentral:rRNA from 1 species
UACGGAGGGUGCGAGCGUUAAUCGGAAUCACUGGGCGUAAAGCGCGCGUAGGCGGCUUUUCAAGUCAGGGGUGAAAUCCCACGGCCCAACCGUGGAACCGCCUUUGAAACUGUAGAGCUUGAGUGUCGGAGAGGGUGGCGGAAUUCCAGGUGUAGGAGUGAAAUCCGUAGAUAUCUGGAGGAACACCGGUGGCGAAGGCAUCUCACGAAUCCGCUAUUGACGCUGAUGCACGAAAGCGUGGGUAUCAAACAGG